AGGCCAGAAGGGGCUGCCAACAUCUGCUUCCCAUUACCCGGGGGAGGGACUUCACCACCAGCCGCUGGUAACAGGAGACCCUGGCCUCUGAUUUAUGGCCCAUUUGGAAGGAGGCCUCGGAGCAAUUACUUGUUGGAUUGAGCCAGGCGAGGGGCUAGAGCUUUGCAAAGCGGAAAGCAGCCCCUGGCUGGCAGCGCUUUCUCCCCAGGAAGACAGGGACUAUCCACUCAGGAUCCAACAUAUCAGAGGAGGACUCCAGGAAGUCAUUCUACCACCUCUGCCUCCCUGCUGACGAAUCCGAUAUUUGGUUGAACAUUCCUACUUCAAAAUUCCAAAAUCUGAAGCAGUCCAAAAUCUGAAACUUUUGGGGCACUGACAUGAAGCCACAAAUAGAAAAUUCCACAUGUCUGGCAGUGUGUCUCACAGCUACCAGAAGCUUGAAGUGGUGCUGAACAUGCAUAAUGUGCUGAGACGUCUGCAGCAACUGUCCUUCCAUAGACUCCUUGGAUUUCGUGGUCCCAGGCUGAGAAAGCUUGGGGUAGAGAAAUAGGGCUGAGGGCAAAUCGCUGGCUGCAGCCGUGCUGUGGAAGCAAUGUGCCAGAAACCCUGACAAUGAACCGCUGUCUCUGACUAAUUGUUCUAGUGGAGAUGUCUCCUGUUUGACUUGAUUUUAAACUGUGGAGCACGUCAAGAGAAAGCUCACUGAUCUGCCGAGGGUUUGUGCUUUUCUGUCUUCAUGCAUCUGUUGUGGGUGAAGAGAGCAAAGAUUCUUCAUUCAAUCAAAGGCCCCCUUUGGAGAUGCUGAGAAGGAAAUUUCCUUUGGAAAUUCCCAAAGGUAGGUUCUUUGGGGAAGUGAGAACUCUGCUGCUUCAACCUUAGCCCAGCCUGCCCUCCUGGUGGGAAAGACCAGCCGUGUCUUGGCUUCCAAAGAACCAGGAGACAGAAGGAAUUUAUGGCUGGAAGCCCAGCAUGGUCGUGUCCCCUGGGCCCAGUUGCUUCCCCUCUGUGGUUUCCAUAUCUAUGUGUUAAGAGAAAGCAUCUGAAACUUUGAAAUAAGGAAGAAGAUGACUGCGUGUCCUUUGAAUGCCACAUUAAAGCACUGUCAGACAGGCCCUGCCCAAUGGCAAUUUAAUUCUUCAGGGCACGGGCCAAAUCUGGCUGCUGCCUGUUUUUGUAAAUAAAGUUCUAUUGGAACACAGCCACACCCA